GUGGGGAAUAUUGGACAAUGGGGGGAACCCUGAUCCAGCCAUGCCGCGUGUGUGAAGAAGGCCUUUUGGUUGUAAAGCACUUUAAGCGAGGAGGAGGCUACCGAGAUUAAUACUCUUGGAUAGUGGACGUUACUCGCAGAAUAAGCACCGGCUAACUCUGUGCCAGCAGCCGCGGUAAUACAGAGGGUGCAAGCGUUAAUCGGAUUUACUGGGCGUAAAGCGCGCGUGGGUGGCCAAUUAAGUCAAAUGUGAAAUCCCCGAGCUUAACUUGGGAAUUGCAUUCGAUACUGGUUGGCUAGAGUAUGGGAGAGGAUGGUAGAAUUCCAGGUGUAGCGGUGAAAUGCGUAGAGAUCUGGAGGAAUACCGAUGGCGAAGGUAGCCAUCUGGCCUAAUACUGACACUGAGGUGCGAAAGCAUGGGGAGCAAACAGGAUUAGAAACCCCUGUAGUCC
rnacentral:rRNA from 1 species